rnacentral:rRNA from 1 species
AGAGUUUGAUCCUGUGCUCAGGACGAACGCUGAGCGGCGUGCCUAAUACAUGCAAGUCGAGCGAGCUUGCCUAGAUGAUUUUAGUGCUUGCACUAAAUGAAACUAGAUACAAGCGAGCGGCGGACGGGUGAGUAACACGUGGGUAACCUGCCCAAGAGACUGGGAUAACACCUGGAAACAGAUGCUAAUACCAGGAUAACAACACUAGACGCAUGUCUAGAGUUUGAAAGAUGGUUCUGCUAUCACUCUUGGAUGGACCUGCGGUGCAUUAGCUAGUUGGUAAGGUAACGGCUUACCAAGGCAAUGAUGCAUAGCCGAGUUGAGAGACUGAUCGGCCACAUUGGGACUGAGACACGGCCCAAACUCCUACGGGAGGCAGCAGUAGGGAAUCUUCCACAAUGGACGAAAGUCUGAUGGAGCAACGCCGCGUGAGUGAAGAAGGGUUUCGUCUCGUAAAGCUCUGUUGGUAGUGAAGAAAGAUAGAGGUAGUAACUGGCCUUUAUUUGACGGUAAUUACUUAGAAAGUCACGGCUAACUACGUGCCAGCAGCCGCGGUAAUACGUAGGUGGCAAGCGUUGUCCGGAUUUAUUGGGCGUAAAGCGAGUGCAGGCGGUUCAAUAAGUCUGAUGUGAAAGCCUUCGGCUCAACCGGAGAAUUGCAUCAGAAACUGUUGAACUUGAGUGCAGAAGAGGAGAGUGGAACUCCAUGUGUAGCGGUGGAAUGCGUAGAUAUAUGGAAGAACACCAGUGGCGAAGGCGGCUCUCUGGUCUGCAACUGACGCUGAGGCUCGAAAGCAUGGGUAGCGAACAGGAUUAGAUACCCUGGUAGUCCAUGCCGUAAACGAUGAG